ensembl:lncRNA
CUAUAUCUGUUCUUACAUUCUUGCACAGGAAGGAUGGGCUUUUGUGAAUUUGGAUACUGUAUACUGUUUAAUAAUGACUAAAUAGAAGGAUGAAAAUACUUUAGGAUGAUGUGAUCAUGUUCCUGCCCUGAAAGCAGGCAGAGAGAAGGGAAGAAGGGAAGUUUUAAUAAAGAGCUGCCGUUGAUCCUCAGGCAGAGUUUAAAUCCCACCACAAACCGGGUCAUGGCAACUACAGACUUCAAUUUAGCACAAAGAGCCCUGAGGGAGGCAGAACGAAGUGAGCUGCAUUGGCACACCUGGCAAAGAUGCCUUCCCAUAGGAGCCCCUCAGAAGUAGUUGCAGGAUUUCACUGAUCAUCCCAAAUUUAUACUUUCUAAAGAAGCUGGAUAAUUUAAAAAUGUUUGGCCCUGAUCUAACUUCUACAAGGAAAAAAGAAUUCUAG